UGCUUUGCUGUGUGCUGAGUCAGACCCCUGUGAACAGCUGGACUGCGCAGAGUAUGAGUGGUGUGGUGAGAAGGACGGUGUGUACGGCUGCUUCUGUGAUGAACACCACCAUCGACCCAACAAUGAGAGCUACAACUCGUCCAUCACUUGUGUCAGUAGUUCAGGCACCAUGUCUGUAUCGCGCUGCCAGCUGUUUGAAGCUGGCUUCCACUGCAGUGCC